GGGGUAGUGGCUCAGUGGUAGAGUGCUUGCCUAGCAUGUGUGAGGCCCUGGGUUUGUUUCCCAGCUCCA
rnacentral:tRNA from 1 species